AUUGAACGCUGGCGGCAGGCCUAACACAUGCAAGUCGAACGAGUGGCGGACGGGUGAGUUAUGUCUGUGCCACUGCCCGAUGGAGGGGGAUAACUAAUGGACACGGUAGCUAAUACCGCCUACCCUCGGAUGUGCCCAGAUGGGAUUAGCUAGUAGGUGGGGUAACGGCUCACCUAGGCGACGAUCCCUAGCUGGUCUGAGAGGAGGACCAGCAACACUGGAACUGAGAAACGGUCCAGACUCCUACGGGAGGCAGCAGGGGGGAAUAUUGCACAAUGGGCGCAAGCCUGAUGCAGCCAUGCCGCGUGUAUGAAGAAGGCCUUCGGGUUGUAAAGUACUUUAAGCGAGGAGGCGUUACUCGCAGAAGAAGCACCGGCUAACUCCGUGCCAGCAGCCGCGGUAAUAC
rnacentral:rRNA from 1 species